rnacentral:rRNA from 1 species
GGACUACCCGGGUAUCUAAUCCUGUUCGCUACCCACGCUUUCGUGCCUCAGCGUCAAUGUUGGCUUAGUGAGCUGCCUUCGCAAUCGGUGUUCUACAACAUAUCUAAGCAUUUCACCGCUACAUGUUGUAUUCCGCCCACUUCAACCAGAUUCAAGCUUGGCAGUUUCAUUGGCAGUUUCACAGUUAAGCUGCGAGCUUUCACCAAUGACUUAUCAAGCCGCCUACGCACCCUUUAAACCCAGUGAAUCCGGAUAACGCUUGCACCCUCCGUAUUACCGCGGCUGCUGGCAC